GAUGAACGCUAGCGAUAGGCUUAACACAUGCAAGUCGAGGGGCAGCAUGGUCUUAGCUUGCUAAGACUGAUGGCGACCGGCGCACGGGUGCGUAACGCGUAUGCAACUUGCCUCACAGAGGGGGAUAACCCGUCGAAAGACGGACUAAUACCGCGUACACUCUAUUUUGGGCAUCCAAGGUAGAGGAAAUGAAAUUCGCUGUGAGAUAGGCAUGCGUCCCAUUAGCUAGUUGGUGAGGUAACGGCUCACCAAGGCGACGAUGGGUAGGGGAACUGAGAGGUUGAACCCCCACACUGGUACUGAGACACGGACCAGACUCCUACGGGAGGCAGCAGUGAGGAAUAUUGGUCAAUGGGCGAGGGCCUGAACCAGCCAAGUCGCGUGAAGGAUGACUGUCUUAUGGAUUGUAAACUUCUUUUGUAGGGGAAUAAAGAGGGGAACGUGUGCCCCAGUGAAUGUACCCUACGAAUAAGCAUCGGCUAACUCCGUG
rnacentral:rRNA from 1 species